CCAGGCUGGACAGGCAAAACCUGGCCUCGCCAGACUUCCAGAGCCUGCACAGAGUGUGUAGCUGAGAAGUCCGGAUUCUGGUGCCAGACCGACUGCCUAGUGAGAAGCCUGGCACCACCGGGUCAGGUGGCUGAGCUAACGGGGAACAGACAUGACAAUAUGGACGUGCAACCACGUGACUUAGUACAAAUACCAAUUUGGCCAGUCAAUGGAGGAGCAAUGAAGCAGCUGGAUCCCAGAUGUCACUCAGGCACAAGGUUCUGGUUGAUCGUAGAAAACACCAUUUCUUUUCAUUGAACCACACUGACUUUCCACAUAGCCACAUGUUCCCAUGUAGGAACCCAUAUUAACAAUCACCAGACUCCCAAGGAAACAAGCCACCAUGGGCGAGAGUCAGCAGAAACAACCAACAAUAGAUAUAGACCUCCAAGGAACAAAGAUCUUGGAAAAAAUCAAAUCUUGGAUAUAAAAUACAAGGAUAUAAACCUUCAAGAACCAAAGAACUUGGAAAAAUCAGAUCUUGGAUAUAAAAUACCUUCCUGUCCCCUGUCCCAAGAAGGUGGAACUUGAUUAGUUGAAGCUACUCACAGUAAUUUUCUUCUUUCCUGUGAUUGGCUUACGAAGGAUCAUGUGAUCUCAACCUGGCCAAUGAGACAAAGGAAGAUGUUGUUUCUACCUCUGGGCAUCGCCCUUUGCAUGUGAUACCUGGAGUCCCCUCGGCCAUCAUCACUCCAAUUCUGAACUGUCAGAGCGCAAAGAGGGGAAGCACCUGGGUUCUUGAUGAGGUUGAGACCCUACACGUCCCUGCAUGGUACUAUUGUGUCUCCAGACUCUGUGUCUGAGCAAUGACAAACCCCCUGUUCCUUGGCUACUUUCAGUGGUUUUUCAGUUGCUUGCAGCUGACAGCACUCUGCUGUACUCGCUAAUAUGCUGUGUAUUCUGUUCCCCUUCGUGAAGGCCUUCUUUGUCUGCUUCACCUCUCUGUCAUCCCUGCACCAUCUCAGUGACUUUGUCCUGAACCUUUAGCUCUUCCAAAGCCAGAAAAGUGCCCAACACACAUCUCACCAGCAGGAGCAACCUGAGCCGAAAGCAGGGAGCCCAAACCUCUGCUUCCCGACACCAUGUUCUGGUUUUCAGGGGCAGGCCAAGGUGGUAAAGCAGAUACCAGGAACCGAACUGUGUGGUUUGGAGUCAUGAGGAAGAUAAGAGCCAUCAGCGUCUGAUCUACCGCAGAGGCAGAUACAGCAACUGCUCUCGAGUGAGAAGUUGCAGGAAAACCCCUUCAUAAGAAACAAUGCUCCCUUCUUAGAGAUGGGGCUCUUUCUCAAGAUCUCCAGGCUUAAUACCACAUGAAAACUGCCGAGGCUCACUGCUUACACCCACUGGAGUGGCAGCCUGACUGUAUCUGGAGCUCUUUAACCUGAGACUGGAACCAGAGCA
rnacentral:lncRNA from 10 species